AGGAGCAUGUGGUUUAAUUCGAUGAUACGCGAGGAACCUUACCUGGCUCGAACGUAAGAGUGACUGUAGGUGAAAGCUUACAUCUCUUCGGAGCAUUUUACGAGGUGCUGCAUGGUUGUCGUCAGCUCGUGCCGUGAGGUGUCGGGUUAAGUCCCAUAACGAGCGCAACCCCUACCUUUAGUUGCCAUCAGGUUAAGCUGGGGACUCUAAAGGAACUGCCUACGCAAGUAGUGAGGAAGGCGGGGAUGACGUCAAAUCAGCACGGCCCUUACGUCCAGGGCUACACACGUGCUACAAUGGCCGAUACAGAGGGCAGCUACCUGGUGACAGGAUGCAAAUCUCCAAAGUCGGUCUCAGUUCGGAUCGGAGUCUGCAACCCGACUCCGUGAAGUUGGAUUCGCUAGUAAUCGCGCAUCAGCCAUGGCGCGGUGAAUACGUUCCCGGGCCUU
rnacentral:rRNA from 1 species